GCACACAGGGCUCAGCACUCACUUGUACACCAUCCCGUGGCAGACGAUGAUGCUCCCGUCGUCGGAGCCGGAGGCGAACAGUGGGUACCGGGUGUGGAAGGCCACGGCCCUGAGGGCCUUCUUGUGGUGUCUGGAGGGCAGGGGCUGGGUGAGGGCAGGGGAGGGCAGGGGAGGGCCCGCCGGCAGCCGCUCCCCCCCGCCACUCACCUCAGCACCCUGUACGGCUCACAGGAAAGGUCCAGGUCGAACCACACGAGCUUGCUGUCAUAGCUGCCGCAGAUGACGUUGUCCCCUGGGGGCAGACGGGGCGGUGGGGACCUGCGGGGCGCACGCUCCCCUGCCCCCCUGCCCCCGCCCGCCCUCACCUGCGGGGCGCACGCUCCCCUGCCCCCGCCCGCCCUCACCUGCGGGGUGCACCGCCAGGCUGGACACCCACUUGCAGUUUGGUCUUAGCUUCUUGGUGAGCUCCUGGCGCAGCAGGUGGUAAAGGCGGAUGCUGCGCUGGGAAGCCACCAGCAGGAAGGGCCGCAGGGGGUGGAAGGCCACGCGCUGCACCUGUCCGUGGCUACGGCGGAAGGGGCUCUGGCUGCGGUGCCGGCUCAGCUGGUGGAUCAGCACCUGCGUGUGGCCCGCGGCGGCCAGCACCACGGCCAGGUAGUCCCCACGUCCAUGCCAGGUCACCUGUGUCACCGGCUGCAGGAGCAACACUGGCUCAGCUGGGCCCUCCCCUGCCCCUCCAUCCUAACCCACACCCCCAGCGGCCCCCCACCCCACACCUUCCCGUGGCAGAUGCGCAGCCUCAGGCCCGCCUGGCGCUCGUCCUCCGAGGCCUCCAGCCAGCGGGCGGGCUGCACCGCGGGCUCCUCGGGCGGGACGAAGGCACUCAGCAGCUGGUCCGUGCCGCUCACCACCAGCCGGUCCCCCAGGGCCGGGUUCAGCAGCAGCACCGAGUCCUCUCUGCGGGCCGAGUGACACACAGGCCCUCAGGCUCCGGUCUGCGCCCGCGGCCCCCAGCCCCCCCGGGCUGCCCACUUACACUGCCACGGCCACCAGGCCCACGGUGGGGUGAGGGUUCCAGGCAACGCUCCUCACCACACCCCCCACGGGCACGGUCCUCAUGCAGCGGGCAGUGGCCACCUCCCAGAGCCGCACCGAGCCAUCGUCGGAGCCUGGAAGCAGCGAACAAGGCCCUCUCCAGCUGCGGGGCGCCCCGCCGGCCCAGCAGCCCCCCAGCCAAGCUGGGAAUGCCCCCACCCCAGGCUCACCUGAAGCCAGCCACUGGCCAUCCGGGGAGACACUAAGGCAACGGACAAGGUCGCUGUGGCCCCUGUAGACCUACGGAGGAGAGGCACUGAGGCGACAGACCCCCACCCCGAGGCUCCCCCCCGACGAGGGGUUCCCCCCACCUGCUUACCAGGGCCUGGCACGUGGGGAAAGGCUGCAAGUCCCGCGGCCGGGGCAGUUUCGGGAUGAGGUCUUCAGGGUCCACAUUCACCUGGGACAGAUAGAGGUCGAGGCAGCGCUCGAAACGCUCCUGGAUGAAGCGGCCGUACGCGGGCACGGCCCGCAGGCUGGGGAACUUGUGCGGCAAGAAGUUGAGCUUCCUCUCGCCCGGCUCCUGCUGCUGCCACGCCAGACGCUGCAGGGACAGGGGGACGGGAUGAAGCUGCGCUUGUCGGCAGGUCGGUUGGUCACUGGGUGGAUCAUCAGGUCCCCGCUGAAGAAGUCCACAGCCGGCUGGGGGCACAAGCAGACGUGAGGGCCAGGACCCUGCAGCUGAGCCGCACACCCAGGGCGAGCUGCUGCCACCUACCUCGUACGGAUCGAAGCUCCCGUCCCCAAACUGGCCCCGCUGCAGCCGCCGCACCAGGGCCACCUGCUCGUCGGUCAGCCGCACAUCAUGCCCUGUCAUCCGGUCCUGCACCGUGCGCCUGGGGGGCCGGCCGCCCAUCAGAGGCAAGCUCGAAGCCCCCCCGCCCCGCCCCCACUGGCCCCAUCCGAGCCUGCUUACCAGUAAUCAGGGUUGUCCAUCUUGUCCAGAAACUGGUCCAGCUCGUCACGGGUCCGCAGGGGCUUGUAGAUGCGCCUGCCGUCCAGAUCAUAGCCCACGUGGGGGAAGUCAGCGUACCACUCCAGGGGCACAUUGCCCACCGUGUUCCGGAUGUCCUGGGGCAGCAAGCCAGCGUGUCAGCAUCGGGCACCCCCCAUGCCCACCCCUCCCUCCAAGCUCCCCAAGAGUCACAGGCAAGGGCGGGGGGGAACCAGCGAGAGCAAAGGGAUGGGCCUCGAGGCUGGUGGGACGGGACCCGGGCACCCUGAGACAUGCCCUCUCCCUGGGGUGUGACGUGGCAUGGCGGCCGGUGCUGUCCCCCCCCCCCCAACAACUGGCCCUCAGAGGCGCCGGAGCUGUACCUUCACAUUUUCCACUGAAGUGGUGCCAACCCCAGAGCCUCCCCCCUGGAUUCCUUGGCCAGGACUCUGGGCAGCCACAGACAAGGGUGACCUCAUCGCCCAUGGGCUCCCUCCCCUGGUGGGGGCCUUAGGCAAAAAUGGGUAGCCACAGGCAGGGACUCAGAGAAGACCCCGCCAACCCACUCCAAGGAGAGGUAGAAGCCGCUGCGUUCUGCCCUGCAGGCAUUCGAGGACCCCCCUCAGCCCUCCCUGGUCCUGCCCCCCACCCCAGAGCAGCCACAUUCCUGGACACACAUUCCUGGUCGAGGCCCCGGCCAGCCACCACCCUCCCUCCGCCCAGCACAGAGACUGCUGCCCAGGCGGCCGCUUCCUGAACAGUGGCCACAGGGGGAGGGGCCCAGAUGAGACUGAGCACAGCGGGGAGCCCGAGGGCCCCUUGCAGGAGCACAGGACCCCCUGGGCUCUGCCCAUCUGCACCUGCCUGCCCCAGUCCUGCCAACUUUCAUACUCCCAGCAGGCCCGUCCUCCGGGGACACCCCCUGUGCCCCUGCCCUUCCUUCUCUGCACAUGAGUGGGGGGCCACCCCUGAACUGGACAGACCCUGGAGCAUGCAACAAGGGAAUGGGGAGGCUGCCCCAGAGCAGGGUCUCAGGCAGAGAGCGCAGCGUGGGCCAGAGCUGGAGGGUAUGACUGACACCAGGAGGCUGCGCCACCCGGGGACCCCACGCACAACUCGCGCUGGGGGGCAGCCUGGGACGGUGGGGUGAACUCCAGCCCCCUGGGCUCUGUGCCCCCUCCCCACUCUGCCUGGCACAAAAGGCCCAAGUGUACACAGGAGAGGGAGAGAGAGACAAACAGGGUGUGGCCCAGCACCAGCGCCAGGGCAUCUGAGUUAACUUGCUCACGCAAGGGGAGAAGACCUGCCUGGGUCACGGGUCCCACUUGACCCUCCUGCCCCCUGCGGAGGCAGAGGGAGAGGGCUGCACAGCCCCGGUACCCCCCCGAGGGGAUUCCCACUUCCCCACAGCCCCCAGAGACAGCGAGAUGCUGCAGGCUCCUUCGGCGUGGCGCGAGAAGGCAGAGGGACGAGGGCCCCUGCUCUGUGCGGCCUCCGGGGGCUGGGAG